UCUUGGUCAUUUAGAGGAAGUAAAAGUCGUAACAAGGUUUCCGUAGGUGAACCUGCGGAAGGAUCAUUACCGAAUGACGUGUGCCUGGUUGUGGUAGACCAUUUCCUGCCAUGGUAUGAUGGUCAGAUGUUGGACCAGCCGGGGAUUUGGCUACCAUUUCAUGCAUUUUCACCCAACAAAUCUGUCUUUGAAUGUAUCGCGUUAAAGCGUAAAAUAUAAAUAUAACUUUCAACAACGGAUCUCUUGGCUCUCGCAUCGAUGAAGAACGCAGCGAAAUGCGAUAAGUAAUGUGAAUUGCAGAAUUCAGUGAAUCAUCGAAUCUUUGAACGCACCUUGCGCUCCUUGGUAUUCCGAGGAGCAUGCCUGUUUGAGUGUCAUCGAAACCUCGGAUCGACGCUUCGACCCCGUCGAAGCUCGGUUCGGACUGUGGGAGUCUGCCGGCGAAGCGUGACUUCGUCGGCUCUCCUCAAAAGCAUUAGCUGUGGGUGGCGAGCCUGGCAUGGCACGGCCUGUUCGACGUCGUAGUGAUCGUCGGGGGCUGGAAGUGUAUGGCUCGACGUGACCCAUGCUUCCCGAGUCUUGCGAGCCCGUCCCUCUGUGGGACGGCCGCGCCCCAUCGAAGCUUGACCUCAAAUCAGUAGGACUACCCGCCGAACUUAAGCAUAUCAAUAAGCGGAGGA
rnacentral:rRNA from 1 species